rnacentral:rRNA from 1 species
AUUACCGAGUGCGGGUCCUUUGGGCCCAACCUCCCAUCCGUGUCUAUUAUACCCUGUUGCUUCGGCGGGCCCGCCGCUUGUCGGCCGCCGGGGGGGCGCCUUUGCCCCCCGGGCCCGUGCCCGCCGGAGACCCCAACACGAACACUGUCUGAAAGCGUGCAGUCUGAGUUGAUUGAAUGCAAUCAGUUAAAACUUUCAACAAUGGAUCUCUUGGUUCCGGCAUCGAUGAAGAACGCAGCGAAAUGCGAUAACUAAUGUGAAUUGCAGAAUUCAGUGAAUCAUCGAGUCUUUGAACGCACAUUGCGCCCCCUGGUAUUCCGGGGGGCAUGCCUGUCCGAGCGUCAUUGCUGCCCUCAAGCCCGGCUUGUGUGUUGGGUCGCCGUCCCCCUCUCCGGGGGGACGGGCCCGAAAGGCAGCGGCGGCACCGCGUCCGAUCCUCGAGCGUAUGGGGCUUUGUCACAUGCUCUGUAGGAUUGGCCGGCGCCUGCCGACGUUUUCCAACCAUUUUUUCCAGGUUGACCUCGGAUCAGGUAGGGAUACCCGCUGAACUUAAGCAUAUCAAUAAGCGGAGGAAAAGAAACCAACCGGGAUUGCCUCAGUAACGGCGAGUGAAGCGGCAAGAGCUCAAAUUUGAAGCUGGCUCCUUCGGAGUCCGCAUUGUAAUUUGCAGAGGAUGCUUUGGGUGCGGCCCCCGUCUAAGUGCCCUGGAACGGGCCGUCAGAGAGGGUGAGAAU